rnacentral:tRNA from 1 species
GUGAGCGUAGCUCAAUUGGCAGAGCGCCAGACUGUGGAUCUGGUGGUUGGGGGUUCAACUCCCCUCGCUCACCCCA